GACGUCAUUCAAAGACUAGUCCCGCUUAAAAUGUCCCGUUACUGUUUGUGUAUUUAUGAAAUCGAUGGAUUUGACGCUGAGCUACAGGUCUUAUGGCUGAGUCCUUUACUGUGAAGGUCUGGUACGAGAGCAAUCGUGUUAAAUCGGUUGCACCUUUAUCGUCCUUCUCCUCUGGCGAAGAGCAGAGAAAUGUGUGACAUAAAAAGGUGCUUCUCAGUCGUGAUUCUGACUGGGCUCCAGUAGCAGGAACAUGUCUGUGCUUGGCUUCGGGGCCUGCAGAACUUCUGAAGAUGUUGAGACUCUUCGUUAUGGAAACUGGUGACUCAGGUUCUGUGGUAACGUGACAACCACUAUGGAACAUCUAUGGUGCUUUAAUUUGUGCAGCUCAGGAGGAAACGUGCGUGUGUUCACACCAGCUGUCACACAUCUACCCACAAACUGCAGGUGUGACGUACAGACCCGUGAGAGCCCUCACACUAAGAACAGACUGCCCGACAGGCAUCGUAAAGCUUCAUCUGGAAACCUCCUCGGUGUCAUGUGGUUCUGAAGUCUUUGCUGGCUACUUGUGUGUGUGCAACAAUGAUCGGUACCGUGCUUCUGCUGUGCUUCCUCUUCAGUUGGAUCCGGCCUGUAGAUGCCAGAAUGGUCCAUUUGGACCCUGGCGUCCGUGGCGCUGAAAAGGCCGUCCAGCUGAGCCUGGCCAAGGACUCUGUGGACGACAUGUUCUUUGGUUGCAGUGCAGCAAUGACUGAGCUGGUUAAGAACACGCUGUUUAAAAAAGAAAACAAAGGAAUGUUUGCAGACGUCUGGAAAGGAGCUGAAGCGUGUGCAGUGAAGAACCUGAAGAAGAGAAAGGCAGAAGACGAAGCCUUGACCAAGCAGCACAUGCAGGCCAUCUGUGCAUACACGUCUGACGAAGACGGAGACUUUUACAACACGUUCAACCAAGCUCUCAGGAGAAACAUGAAGAAUUAUGGAGCUGGCUUCCCCUUUCACACCUUGUACUUCUGGCUGACAUCAGCUGUUCAGCUUCUCAACAACAAUAAGAAGUGCCACACGACGUUCCGCAGAACCAACCUGGACUUCACUGGGAAGGUCAGUGGGGAAGUGAGGUUCGGAUCCUUUGCAUCCAGCUCCUAUAAACCCACCCUGGUGGACUUUGGUAAUAAGACCUGCUUCAGGAUUCGGACGUGUUUGGGUGCGUCCCUGAGGAGCUUCUCUGUGGUGAAGGAGGAGGAAGAGGUUCUGAUUGCUCCCUACGAGAUUUUCAAGAUCACUGCGAAAAAGAAAGGUUGUGAUGUGCCAGAACUGGUGGGAUGUCGGGUCGUCUACAUGCUGCAGAGUGUCGGACUUCUCAGUAACCUGAACUGUAAGCUUGUGAACGCUGUGACAGAACACACCGAAGGUCUCAGUGAUCACGGUUCUGUCAGCGAUUUCUUUGGCCAAACUUUAUGAAUGAGUAAAUGUGGCCUUCAACAAAACAAAGUUGUGGAUUAGAUCUUGGUGAGAUAAGAUAAGAUAGACUUUAUUCAUCCCACAAUGGGAAAUUCUUUUGUCCGCAGCAGCAAGGAGGCGUUAAAUAGGACAAACAGUACAGCAGUAAGGAGAACAGGAAAUAGAACAGAUGGCAGCAGUAUUAACUAUACAAGAAAAAAUUAAAAACUAAUCAAGUAAGUGAAAAAUCUUUAUUAAAAAAAUCAAGUAAAAUUUCCAUAUUGCACGACAACGAUAAUAUAAUCAGUGAAUACCAGAGUAUGAAAACAAUGACAGAACAGAAGCAACAACAGACAACAAACAACAAUGGAAUUCACCGUGUGGGUACAGUUGUGUGUCACUGCAGUGCUGUGUUGUGUGACGUCUGUGGGAGCAGUGACCUGCAGCAGCUCCUUCCUGCCUGUGGCUGUAACAGUGUGGUGCUGAAGGAGCUGCUCAGAGCCUCCGUGUGGUGCAGGGGUGGAGGUGUUCUCCAUGAUGGAUGUUAGUUCACCAGCAUCCUUCUGUCCUCCACCUCCUCCAUGGACAGAGUGCAGCCCAGGACAGAGCCGGCUUUUCUGAACCAGUGUUGAGUCUCUUCCUGUCUCUGCCUGCACUGCCCCCAACCAGCACACAGCUCCAUACAGGACUACUGAGGCCACCACAGUGUCAUAAGUCCUUAGCAGCUGUCUGCACACACCACAGGACCUCAGUCUCCUCAGCAGGUGGAGGCCACUCGGGCUCUUCUUAUACAGAGUCUGUGUUGUUUGACCAGUCCAGUUUAUUGUUGAGGUGAACACCCAGGUAUUUAACAACAGUUCCCACAGUCUCACUGUCUGAGCCCUGGAUGUUCACUGGUGUGUGGUGGAGGGGACCUCCUGAAGCACUAACUCCUUCGUUUUGCGCAGGUGACUGAGGUCAAUCCUCUCUGUGGCACUCACUUUUGACCUGCUUGUUCCUGGCAGCUCGUGUGUGCCGGGUUUGUCUCAUAUCUCAACAUUCGUCUCGUCAUUUCUGAACUGGCUUUUGGUCUUCAUGCUCUGCAGACAGACACAACCUGAGCUGCAAGUAUUGCACACGUGCAUCGCUUGCAGGUGCAGAAAUACGCUCUGAAUUUGACACGUUUGGCCACAGACAUGUGAACUGAGUUGUCUGAUUGAAGCACUUGGUGCGAAGCUCUGCUCUUCAUUAGCUGAUGAGUUUGGUGCCGGUGUUUCUGAAUAACCUGCUUUAGGUGAUGCCUGGUUGCUGAGCGGUGACAUGCUGCGGCUGUGGUUCCUCCUCUGCUGAAUGCUGCCUGUAGAGGCCACGAUGAGGAGUGACCCACAACUCGCUGUGUGGUGGAUGAGGAACAGACACAGUCAGAUGAUGUUAAAGCUGUUUAAUAUAAUGUAACAUGUUAUGUGUCCCUGUGUUCACAGGUAAUUUUUUUUUGUCCAGCAGUUUAACAAGCAGCAUAUGCUAUGCUGAAUGCCAUAUUGUGAUGGACAGCUUUGCUUUAACAAGAGGGGUAUAUAUAAAAUAUAUAUACUCUUCUUGAUUUAUGGUUUAUUUAAUAGUUGAUUUAGCUAAUCCCAAAUAUGUGUGAUGUUGCUCUGUUGGUGAACAGGUUGGGUUCCUGCUUUAGGGUGUGUAUGCGGGAGGGGGGGUUGCAACCAGCUGCUGAAACCAAGCAAAUCUGUUAAGUAAAGAAUCGGUGCAAAAUAAAUAAGAAGCAGGGAUGUACCAUAGGCAAACACAUUCAUAACUAAACAACUGUUGUACUGUGGUUUACCUUGGAGAUUAAUACUAAUACCAAUAAUAGUGUUAAGGUAUGUGCACAUACUCAUACAAACAUAUAUCAUACACAUACACAUAUGCAUUGUUAUACAUAUCCCAUACAACACCACAAUUUCCAUAUUCACACAUUAUUGAUUUUGGUAGUGAUAAGUAUCAGUAAUACUUACAGUUGGAUUUGGAAAGUGUCCCACUACAAGGUUAGUAGAGCUGUAGCUUAACAUUAUUCACCCAAAGGCUGAGGCAGACGUAGGUGCAUGAACAAUGCCACUAGUGAAAGCCAGGGUGAUGGAUGAGCUCGGCCACUACGCCAUCCAACAAGCAGAGGAUAGAAUGCUAGCAGCCAGGGAGCCCACACACCUUCAGUUCAGGAGGGCAGGUGUUGGACCCAAGCCGCCCACACAGAGCCCCCCACAGAGCUGCAGCAGCCACAGAGACAGCACCCGAGGCCAGAGUGGGCCACUGUGGGUCAACGCUGUCCGCCCCAUGAGAACCAGGGGCAAACACUCCCCCCGGCGGGAGGGUCGGCCUGAAAGAGUGGAGCCCGAGGACCCACGGUCCCUACGGAACCCACCAGGAGAUGCCCCCGCGCCCAGAGUGGGGCCCACCCCCAUUCACAGGUGAAUGAGCCCCUCCCGCUCCACGUGGUGAACGCCGAUGUGGACGACAUGUACGUGGGCUAUAAAGUGAACAUGAGCCAACUGCGGGAUGAAAGAGGUCACGCAUGAAUGCAUCAGCAUUAUGGAGCAUGUCUUCAACCAGAGCCUCAAGCUGAGGGUGGUACCACGGCUCUGGAAGACUUCCUGUGUGGUACCAGUGCCCAAGACAACGCACCCUAAAGACCUCAACAACUUCAGGCCGGUGGCUCUGACACCACACCUCAUGAAGACACUGGAGAGACUGGUUCUACAUCAACUGCGCUGCAUGGUGAGCUCAGCAAUGGAUCUGCUGCAGUUUGCCUACCAGUCUGGCAUCGGAGUAAAGGACGCCAUCAUCUUCCUGCUCCAUCGUUCCCUGGCCCACCUUGGGAAGCCUGACAGCACUGUGAGGAUUCUGUUCUUCGACUUCUCCAGUGCCUUUAAUACCAUACAGCCGGCUCUCUUAAGGGACAAAUUGGAGUCAGCUGGCGUGGACAGUUACCUGACAGUGGAUACUGGACCACCUCACAAACCGUCCCAAGUUUGUGAGGGUCUGGGACUGCGUGUCGGACACUCUGACCUGCAGUGUGGGAGCCCCACAGGGGACUGUCCCGGCCCCCUUCGUCUUCACCCUCUACACUGCAGACUUCAGACACAACUCAUCUGGCUGUGUUCUGCAGAAGUUCUCUGACGACUCUGCAAUUGUUGGACUUAUUACUGACGAUGAUGACGCAGAGUACAGAGAACUGACACUGUGGUGGCGUCAGCCAUCCUGUACAGUGUGGUCUGCUGGAGCAGCAGCAUCACAGAGAGGGAGAGGAAGAAGCUGGAUCAGGUCAUUAAGAAGUCCAGCUCUGUCCUGGGCUGCACUCUGGAGUCAGUGAGGGAGGUGGGAGACAGAAGAGUUCUGGCAAAAUUCACAUCCAUGCUGGACCACGAGUCCCACCCACUGCAGGACACACUGUCUGCCCUGGAGAGCAGACUCAGUGACAGACUGAUUCACCCUCGCUGUGGGAAGGAGAGAUUCUGCAGGUCUUUCCUUCCUGCUUCUGUCAAACUUUAUAACAAACAAUUAUAACAUGGUGCACAUUUCUACCACACUGGCCCACACACGCUACAUCUCUAGGGCAAUUGCACCAGUCACUUUAAUAUCUUACUCACUUUGUUUGGUGCAGUCACCUUAUUUCAUUGUGUGCAUAAUGUUGAUAACCUGUGGAGUUCCAAGUUCUAAUUUCUUAUAAUUAUUGUGUUAUUAUUAUUAUUAUUAUGCUAUUUCCUCUGUAUUUAUGUCUAUAUGUCUUUGUGAUGUUGCAACAUGGUAAUUUCCUCAUUGCGGGACAAUGAAGGUAUUCUAUUCUAUGAGUAGACUGCAAAAUAAAAAACACAU